rnacentral:rRNA from 1 species
GCUUAUCACCAUUCCAGAUUGAAUAUACCCAAUCUCGUCUGAUCUCGGAAGUCAAGCAAUCUCGGGCUUGGUUAGUACUUGGAUGGCUGACCGCUUGGGAAUACCAAGUGUGAUAAGCA